rnacentral:misc_RNA from 1 species
GAAAUGCGAUAAGUAGUGUGAAUUGCAGAAUUCAGUGAAUCAUCGAAUCUUUGAACGCACAUUGCGCCUCCCGGCAUUCCGGGAGGCAUGCCUGUUCGAGCGUCAUCAAACACCAUCGUGCGAAUGAAUUUUCGCGCGGAAGUGACGAUUGAGCGGAAAAUCUUCUUUCGCACCUCGUCGAAAUGAUUGCGGGCGGAAUUUGGGAAAUCGGGGUUCCUCGGCGUAAUGUACCAAUGCAUAUUUAUGUAACUUGCCGCGGAGUUGAGCCUGGCCCACGAGUUCUCGCCGUACAAACACCUCAUUACUUUACAAGUUUUUGACCUCGGAUCAGGUAGGGAUACCCGCUGAACUUAA